rfam:Ciona savignyi cont_31841, whole genome shotgun sequence.
GCCCGGUUAGCUCAGCCGGUAGAGCGUUGGACUUUUAAUCCAACAGUCAAGGGUUCAAAUCCCUUAUCGGGCU